rnacentral:tRNA from 1 species
GUCUCACUGGCGCAAUGGUCAGUGUCUCCAAUCUCAAAAUACGAAAAAUUGUGCUGAUAUCUCCGAAGGUAGCGUGUUAGACUCCUAAUCUAAAGGUUGUGGGUUCGAGUCCCACGUGAGAUG